UAGAUAGAUUAGCAAGACUCCAACCUAUAUGCAAAAUGAUAGACAAGAAUGUGCAAAAUACAGAAUGAGAGAUAGAUAGAUAUGAAAGGCACUAUAUAAUACAGAAAAAUAGAUAGACAUGAAAAGCACUAUGUGAUAGAUAGAUGGAUAGAGAGACAGACAGAUGCUAGAAGCUGUAGACAAAUAGUUGAUUGUAUGGAGUACAGUGACAUUCUUACUUGUAUGUCUUAUGAACAUGUGACUUGGCACCGCUCUCUGGCGCUAUGAUAAUAAUAAAGAAUGCGUACACAUACUGUAAGUGGGAAGUGCCAGCACAUUCCUUGUCUCUGGUGACACAUUAACCGCACUGGCACGUUUCUAGCUCACUUCACUGAUGUGCACACAUCACUUUAUGUUCCUUCUAAUAGGCAGAUAAUUUUGUAGGUCAUUAUCUACUAGACUGGGUGCUACAGCGUUAUGGUGGUGAACACAUCUUCCACGUGGAUCCUGCCAGCACCCUGGGUUCAAGUCCCUCACCCUAACAGUCUGCAUGUACAGCAGGAACUUCAUGUUCUUCCCGUACCUGUGCAGGUUCUUCCACAAGUCCUCCAGUUUUCUUCCUACAUCUUCAAAGGCUCACAGAUUAGCUUAAUGGGGGGUGUCAUGUAAGUGUACGUGAGAGGGCCCCUUUGAUGGACUGUUGUGCCAUCCAGGAUUGGUUCCUGCUUUGUACCCAAUGCUGUCAAGACCAGUUCUGGCCCCCAGUGACCCUGAACUGGAGUGAUGGGGUUGACGCUGUUCCAUUAUCUGUGCUACUGUGUAAUAGACUGGGGUACAACUUAUUUAUUACCCAAAAGGAAACUCUACCAGCUAAACAGAAAAUACAAAAGCAGUUCAGCUCCAGCCAUCUUUCAUGUGUGUGUUGAGGGGUCUGAUGGCACUCACUGUAACUAAAUCAGUGUUUUAAAUGAGCCCCCUAACUAAUCCCCUCUUCCUCUUUCCAUUAGGAUGUGGUGGUGUAAGACUCCAGUUUUGUGCACACCAUGCGAUCUCAGGGGUUCCCUGUGGCAACUCCCCAGAAACGGCAGGGAGACCAAAGACCACCUGAGGGACGUUCCUGGGCCCCUCAACAUCACUUCCAGUUCUGGACACAAUGACAUCACUUCCAAUUUUGGACCCAGUGACAUCACUUCCUCCAAGUGACUAUAAAACCACCAUCUUUUUGCCGUUAAGAAUUAAUUUGCCAGAAUCUUCAAGAAUACAGGGUGGCUACCCCAAACCUUUUCUCUGUCUUCUUCUGUUUUAUUUACACCAUAUUUAAUGAGCCCACUUCUAAAUGGGUGU